rnacentral:rRNA from 1 species
UACGGAGGGUGCAAGCGUUAUCCCGGAUUCACUGGGUUUAAAGGGUGCGUAGGUGGGCAGGUAAGUCAGUGGUGAAAUCUCCGAGCUUAACUCGGAAACUGCCGUUGAUACUAUUUGUCUUGAAUAUUGUGGAGGUAAGCGGAAUAUGUCAUGUAGCGGUGAAAUGCUUAGAUAUGACAUAGAACACCAAUUGCGAAGGCAGCUUACUACACAACGAUUGACGCUGAGGCACGAAAGCGUGGGGAUCAAACAGG